rnacentral:rRNA from 1 species
ACGAACGCUGGCGGCGUGCUUAACACAUGCAAGUCGCACGCUGAAGACCUGGCUUUUGUUGGGUUGGAUGAGUGGCGAACGGGUGAGUAACACGUGAGUAACCUGCCCUCUUCUUUGGGAUAACGCCCGGAAACGGGUGCUAAUACUGGAUAUUCACUGAUCUUCGCAUGGGGGUUGGUGGAAAGGUUUGUUCUGGUGGGGGAUGGGCUCGCGGCCUAUCAGCUUGUUGGUGGGGUGAUGGCCUACCAAGGCUUUGACGGGUAGCCGGCCUGAGAGGGUGACCGGUCACAUUGGGACUGAGAUACGGCCCAGACUCCUACGGGAGGCAGCAGUGGGGAAUAUUGCACAAUGGGCGAAAGCCUGAUGCAGCGACGCCGCGUGAGGGAUGGAGGCCUUCGGGUUGUAAACCUCUUUCGCUCAUGGUCAAGCCGCAACUGUGGGUUGUGGUGAGGGUAGUGGGUAAAGAAGCGCCGGCUAACUACGUG